UACGAAGGGAGCUAGCGUUGUUCGGAAUUACUGGGCGUAAAGCGCGCGUAGGCUGUAUCGCAAGUCAGGGGUGAAAGCCCGAGGCUCAACCUCGGAAUUGCCUUUGAAACUGCGAUGCUAGAAUCUCAGAGGGGAUAGCGGAAUUCCAAAUGUAGGGGUGAAAUCCGUAGAUAUUUGGAGGAACACCGGUGGCGAAGGCGGCUAUCUGGAUGAGUAUUGACGCUGAGGCGCGAAAGCGUGGGGAUCAAACAGG
rnacentral:rRNA from 1 species